CAGGGAGGGAGGGCGGAGAGCGCCGGGGCGGGCCGCGGGGCCGCGGCGCUGGGCUGGCCGGGAGCCUGGCGGCGGCGGCUCCGGGGAUGGUCCACGCACUGGCGCCGUCACGUGUUGUUCUCCUUGGAGUGAGCCUGAGCCGCGGCGGCGGGCGGAGGGGGCUGGACGGGCGAGCGCCGACCCCGCCGCCUGUUUUGGUGCGGGGCGCCGGGAAACUCCGCGAAGAAGCCGCCGGAGAGGGAGUCGCCGCGGCGGUGCCCGCUCCCCCGCCGGCCUGGGGCACGGGAGGGGGCCGCGCCGCCGGCCGCUGAGGCGCUGCCGACUGGAAUGAAGAGGAGGAGGAAGAGAGGAUGUUCCGUCGGCACUUGGGCUGCCUCCCCUCCCGCCGCUGCCGGGCUGCCGCGUGUGGAAAUGGCACUUUCUCCGCCUAACGAGAUGGGACUGAAUGGGGUCGCCAGCCGCCUCCGCGCACACGAGCGGCAGCAGCAGCAACCUCAGCGCUGAUAUUUGGGGAAGAAGGGGAUUGUGUUGUGGGAGGCUGCUUUUUGUCUUUUUUUUUUUUUGCUUUUUCUCUUUUUCGGGUGAAGGGGAAGAGAGGGGGAAAGCAGCGUGUAUUUUUGGGUGCAAACCCCGGACUUUGCAAAACAAUCUCCGCCCCCAAGAGGAUAUUUAAUCUGCAACAGAAAUCGCUACUCUCGGAGGCAAACUUGAGACGGGGAAGGGGUGCGGGGAGCGGAGGAAGGGACCCCCGCCCGCACCCGGCCCCGCCGGAGCCCGACCCUGCGGGGGAAGAUGCGUUUCUCUUUCCCGGCGGCUGCUCCUGGGACGAGACUUUCGUCUGGACUGAUCGGGACUGGACUUUUUAAGGGCACGCUUACCCACCUAGGGGUGAUUUGGGCAUAAACAGCAACGCAAACUCCGAUUUGGUGCUGGAAGCUGCUUCUGCCGCUGAACAGCUGCUCUCACCCUGCUUCUGUCCCUCCCCCGUCCCACCCUCAAAAGGGGAUCCUGAGCUAUUUUGCCUUUUUUCCUGUUUUUUUUUUUUUUUUAAUUGUUGCAUGAAUUUUAUUUUAGGUGGUUGCCUUUUCCGACUGGCUUGGCUGUUUUGGGGUCUUGUGGACUGCUAGCUGCAGUAGCAGCUCCACCGCCUCUCAUCAUGGCUAGCCCCACAGAUAACAACGAGGGCUUCUUCUCAGAUGUCAGAAAGGUGGGUUACUUGCGCAAACCCAAGAGCAUGCAUAAACGCUUUUUCGUACUGAGGGCAGCCAGCGAGUCUGGACCCGCCCGGCUGGAGUAUUACGAGAAUGAGAAGAAAUGGAGACACAAGUCAGGGGCCCCCAAGCGCUCCAUCCCACUGGAAAGCUGCUUCAAUAUCAACAAACGGGCUGACUCCAAGAACAAGCACCUGGUGGCCCUCUACACCAAGGACGAGCACUUUGCCAUUGCAGCUGACAGCGAGCCUGAACAGGAGAGCUGGUACCAAGCACUGCUGCAGUUGCACAACAGGGCCAAGGGCCACCACCACCUCCAUCACCACCACCACCACCACCACAGCGAUGUCACCUUUGGAGGCAGCAGCGCUGGACUGGGGGAAGCAGGUGAGGAUGGCUAUGGUGAGGUAGCCCCUGGCCCAGCUUUUAAGGAAGUUUGGCAAGUAAUUCUGAAGCCUAAGGGCCUAGGCCAGACAAAGAACCUGAUUGGCAUCUACCGCCUGUGCCUGACUAACAAGACCAUCAGCUUUGUGAAACUGAAUUCAGAUGCGGCUGCUGUGGUGCUGCAGCUGCUCAAUAUCCGCCGCUGUGGUCACUCUGAGAACUUCUUCUUCAUUGAGGUGGGGCGCUCGGCUGUCACUGGGCCCGGUGAGUUCUGGAUGCAGGUGGAUGACUCGGUGGUGGCGCAGAACAUGCAUGAAACCAUCCUGGAGGCCAUGCGAGCCAUGAGUGAGGAAUUCCGGCCCCGCAGCAAGAGCCAGUCCUCCUCAAACUGUUCCAAUCCCAUCUCUGUGCCCCUUCGCAGCAGGCACCAUGUCAACAACCCUCCACCCAGCCAAGUGGGGCUCAGUCGCCGGUCCAGGACUGAGAGCGUCACGGCCACCUCUCCUGCCGGUGGUGGGGGUGGAGGUACGGGUGGCAAACCCAGCUCUUUCCGGGUUCGGGCAUCAAGUGACGGGGAGGGCACGAUGUCAAGACCUGCCUCUGUGGAUGGUAGCCCAGUUAGUCCCAGUGCCAACCGAACCCAUUCGCAUAGACACCGUGGCAACUCCAGGCUCCAUCCUCCACUCAACCACAGCCGGUCCAUCCCAAUGCCUUCCUCGCGCUGCUCUCCUUCAGCCACCAGUCCCGUCAGCCUGUCAUCCAGCAGCACUAGUGGCCACGGCUCCACAUCAGACUGCCUGUUUCCACGAAGGUCUAGUGCUUCAGUUUCUGGCUCCCCUAGCGAUGGUGGAUUUAUUUCUUCUGAUGAGUAUGGUUCCAGCCCAUGUGACUUUCGCAGCUCUUUCCGCAGUGUGACCCCAGAUUCAUUGGGACACACCCCACCAGCUCGGGGCGAUGAAGAGCUCAACUACAUCUGCAUGGGGGGGAAGGCCACCCCCUCUUGCUGCAGCCUGGCAGCCCCCAAUGGCCACUUCAUCCCACGCACCUGCCACCCGCAGCAGCAGCCCCGCUACCCUAGUACGCCUCGAGGUGGUAGCGAGGAGGUUGCUGACUUGGAGAAGACAUUUAGGAAGCGGACUCACUCUGCAGGCACGUCGCCCACCAUCUCCCACCAGAAGACACCCUCACAGUCUUCAGUGGCCUCCAUUGAGGAGUACACAGAGAUGCUGCCCUCUUACCCCUGUGGCAGCAGCCGGCUGCCCUCCUGCCGGCACUCGGCCUUUGUGCCCACUCACUCCUACCCAGAGGAGUGUCUAGAGAUGCACCACCUGGACAGUGGCCAUCAUCGGACCAACUCUGCCCCGCACAUGGACGACGGCUACAUGCCCAUGUCACCUGGUGUAGCCCCUGUGCCCAGUGGUGAGGGGCCUCCCAAGGGUGGUGACUACAUGCCCAUGAGCCCUAAGAGUGUGUCGGCCCCACAGCAGAUCAUCAACCCUGGCAGGGGAGGCCGCCACCCUCCAGCCACGGUGGACUCCAAUGGCUACAUGAUGAUGUCCCCCAGCAGCAGCUACUCCCCUGACAGUGGCUCUGCGGGCUAUGGCAAGAUCUGGACAAAUGGCGCUGGGCACCACCCGAAACUCUCAGUGGAGAGCAACGAAGGGAAGCUCCCCUGUGGCGGCAGUGACUAUAUCAACAUGUCCCCAGCCAGUGGCUCCACCACCAGCACCCCACCUGACUGCUACUUCGGGGGUGCAGGGCAGCCAGGCAUUGAGGAGGCUGCUGCUACAGCCCAUCACAAACCCAUCUACUCCUACUUCUCACUGCCACGCUCCUUCAAGCACGUGCAUCGGCGGGGUGGCUGCGGGCCGGCAGUAGUGGGCGAGGAGGGCAGCCCCCAGCCCCGCAUCGCUCUUGGCUCUGGUCGCCUCCUCUACGCGGCUGAGGACUCAUCCUCCUCCACCAGCAGCGACAGCUUGGGUGGCGUUGGUGGUGGCACCGACGGUGGCCCCUCGCUGCAAGCGCAGCCCCCGCGCAAGGUGGACACGGCCGUACAGACCAACAAGGGCCGCCUGGCGCGACCCACGCGGCUGUCACUGGGCGGCCCCAAGGCCAGCACUCUGCCGCGGGCCCGGGAGCAGCCCCCGUUGCUCCUGCCCCCGGAGCCGAAGAGCCCCGGCGAGUACGUCAACAUCGAGUUCAUCGCCGGCGACAAGCCGGCCUUCCCCUCGGCCGCCUUGGGGCUGGGUUUGCCGCCGCCGGGCAACGAGGGCGCCGAGGAGUACAUGAACAUGGAUCUGGGGCCCCCGCGGGCCCCCUGCCCCGGCGCCUUUGUCGCCGCGCGGGCGGCCCCCACCGCCCGGCCCGGCCGAGGAGCGGCCCCCGGCGGCCGGGACUACGUUACGAUGCAGCUGGGGGGCGCCGCCGCCGCCGGGGGCUCUUGCUUGGACUGCGCCGACAGCCCUUCCCCGUCGUCGCCCGCCCUCCUGCUCAGCUACGCCGACGUGCGGGCGGGCCGCUCCGCCGCUGAGAAGCCCCCACCGGCGGCGGCGCCGACGGCUUCCCCGGAGCUGCCGCGGCCGCCGGCCGAGCUGUCGGCGGCGCCUCCGCGCUCCUCCUCGCUGCUCGGGGGCCCCGGCGCGGGCAGCGCCUUCACCCGCGUCAGCCUGAGCCCCGGCCGCAACCAGAGCGCCAAGGUGAUCCGCGCCGACCCGCAGGGCGGCCGGCGGCGGCACAGCUCCGAGACCUUCUCGUCCACGCCGAGCGCAGCCCGCGGAGCGGCGGGCGGCGGCGGGCUCGGGGCGCCCUUCCCCUGUGGCGGCGCGGGGGGCGCCGAGGAGGUGAAGCGCCACAGCUCGGCCUCCUUCGAGAACGUCUGGCUGCGGCCCGCCGCGGGGGAGGCGGCCGGCGCCCCCGCUGCCCGCCGGGAGCCGGGGGCCGCGCCCGCCCUGGAGAACGGGCUGAACUACAUCGACCUGGACUUGGUGAAAGACUGCAGCCACCGCCGCCACCACCUGCACCCCUCCGCCGAGGGCGCCGCUCUGCCGGGGGGGAAGCAGCCGCCGCCGAAGGCUCCGGGCCAGCCUCGCGGGAGCGGCCACGCCAGCGACGACUUGAGCGCGUACGCCAGCAUCAGCUUCCAGAAGCGGGAGGAGAUGUAGGAGUCGAGUGCCCGCCGGGGAAGCUUACCAUGAGCCAUGGGAAUUUACAAGGUUUCCAGCAAGGCUGAAGAAAUCCAGGAAACCACAAUGACAGAUCCACUUGAAAAGACCAUUUCAUGAGCGCACUUUCCUAUGCACCGAGCACAGCCCGGACCUUCAUGAAUAGUCUGUUUACUAAGAUGCGGAAAAAGAACCUUUCCAGUGGGUCUUUCACAGAUUCCACCAUCAGAUACUUUUCUUCUUUCACACAGGCUUGAUCCUGAAGUUACUGUUGCCUUCAGGAAAGCUCCUGUUUUUUCUAGCUCUACAUACUGUGUUUUUGAAGCAUAUGAUGAAUGGGAUGCUGUGCAGCUGAAAGAUCACACGUCUCAAAUGGCUCACUUGGCGUUCUCAUACUGAAUGGACUGGCUGAGUUGCAGCUCUCUGACAAGGGAAACGGUUGCUUUUCUCUCAGAACAGCACUUGCUGAUGCAGUGUUUCAUUUGGGGAAGUGUUUUUUUUCCUUCUGCCUCACACAAAGCACCCAGCAAGACUCUGAGACCAGCACUGCUUGUGUUUGUUAAGUGAAGAAAAUGCAGGCUGCUGUGUUACAGAGGCUAGAAGCUUUCCUGGAGGCUAACCUCAAAGACUGAUUCCUACUGCAAAAAGAACUGCAUGGCAUCUACUGUUGGCCACUGUUGGACACAGGAUAACACAGGAUACAUAUUGGCAACACGGACCUUUGGCUUGCUCCAGAAUGGCCGUUCUUACUGUUCUAUGCAAAAAAACCCUACACACAAAACCCUGUCAAACAGUAAUUGAAAAUGCUGAAUGACAAGAAACAAUGUUGUUAGCAAGAAACAAUCCUGAAAUCAAAAUACUGAAAAUCAACCAAAAGGAAAAAAGUUUUCAUCGAAGUGACUUGGCUCCAUUUUCCUCAGUUCUUGGCUAGAACAUUUCCAUUGAUAGAGUUGCUAAGUGCAUUCUAUUUACAAAUAUAAACACUUGAUUUUGAUCAGCAAAAAUGUAUCAGCACACUUGAACAGUGUCAAUGAUGGCAUAAUUACACUCACAAUUUCCUCUCUGUAAUGAUUUUUAAAUGUCAGCAGUCAUUUUUUGUCUAAUUGUAGCCUGUAUGUCAGCACUUCCUCUUAAAACAGCAUGUUCCUCUCUGCUGGAAUUUCACACCUCUCCACUCACUUCAGUGAAGAUAAUGAAGACGAUAUAGGGCUCCAGGAUAUUUUCACUCCUGUACUGUUUUACCACUUAACAUCAAGCGGGCAGCAUAAGGACUACUUAAAAAAAAAAAAAAUUACAAAAUUUGAUCAGUUAGGCUCUAAAUAAUUAUUUGAUUUUAAUCAACAGAUUGAGAGGCAGUCUUUAUUUUUCUGCCCCCCUGCUGGUACUUUCCUAAUAACCUGUUUAAAACCAUGGGCUCAUGAUAAAAAUAUUCUCACACAUCUAUAAUGUAAACAUCCUAGAGGAGGCAGCUUACCCUGCCAUGCCAGUCUCUUGAUCAGUUCCGUGUCUGACAUGCUGCAAAAGCAGGUGACCCUUUCUCUUCAAAGGCAGCCUGUUUAGAGAUGUUAUCACUACAAUCUCAUGCUGUGACCUAGAAAGUGACUUUUGAAAUGCUAUUUUGCAUGGUUCCAGGUAUCUAGAGCCCACAGCAUAACAAAUAGGCACAUCUGGACAUCUGGAGUCUCAGAGCUCUCUUCCUCUUUCCAUAGAUCAGAGACCACAUCAUCAAGUGUAUGAAAGUGGAUCACUUGUGCAUUGAGGUUAGCAGCAAACAUUUUCUACUCAUCUGAACAUACACUGGAAUUGGAAACGGGGACCAAAGAGGCCUCCUUCAAUCCAAUUUGCUUGCAAGUCAUCUUCAGCUCUCUGAUGAUGCUUAGGCAAUAAAGCUUAUAAUUUACUGGCCCAUUUAGUAUCAAAAUAGGUGAAGAGCCAUAAAGAAUGCACACUGUGAAAUCAAAUAAUGAAAUAAUGUUGAGAUGUCUGAUAAAAAAUAGAAUAAAACUGAGUAUCUCUGAUUACAAAUACACACCCAUCCAGAGAUGUCUCAACUCUACUUAUAUGUCUGAAUGGGUCCCCAGAAGAUAGAUAAAUGAAUAAAUUUAAUAAAUAAUAUGCAGGUAGGUUGUGGGAGUGUUUUCUAAAGCCCAUGGUAACAUUUAUUACGUGUCUCUGUGACAUUACCAACACACGUGACAGAUACACAACUGUAUACGUGCACAUAGGCACACGUGAUAACACACAUAUUCCUACAACACAAAUGCUGACCUGGUUCUCCUUGUGUUUUAUGUUGCAUUUUGUGUUCUUCAUUUUUUCUUUUUUGAGUAAAUUAGUGACUCAGAAAUCUCGUGGAGCUGUUGGAAAGGGCAAGAAUUUAUUAACAAUUGCAUCCUGCGCACUUGUGAGAUGUAUCAGUGAGUAGAGACAACCUGAAAAGAGAUGCUUCUGGGUCACCCCGCUGCAGCGAGAUGUCCCCAGGGACCAUUUCAUUAAGGCAACAAAGCAAAUGAAGGAAACUAACAGCCCAGCAAUCAAGAGGAAAAUAAUCCAGUCUUUGAAUACUUCUACGAGAAGAGUGCUGAAGUCAGCCAGACCUGCCAUGGGGAACACAGUGGGUGCAGCUAGCUUGCCUUAAAAGCUGGAAGACUAUGCAAAAGAUGAGCCUAGAAUACAAAGAGACAUUGGUCUAGAACUUUCUCAUUUUCAUACCAAAGAGAAAAGUAGGAGCUAUUAAAAUUAAUUCUAAAUUGUAUGUUAAAUGCUUAUAGCUAUAUUGAAACUUUACCACAAAAGUUCCUUUCCCUAUGAGCAGGUUUCACUUCUGUGCACUGCAAUACAAAGAUGAUCAACACCUCCUUGCCACACUGCUCAGCUAAAGCUAAAUUCAGAAAAGGGAAGGCAAGGAAAGAGCCAUUCCUGGAGUCUUCUGCAGUUCCAGGUGGUUUGUCGGAGGUGGUGAAAAGAAUUUUCUGAAGGCUAAUAAGGUAAAGAGGCUAAUUUGAGGAGCAGGGCCAUCUGUUUCCACAGAAAAGCAAAAACGAUAUUUUACACAUUAGUGUGACCCUGUGUGUAAUGCAAACCCCACGUGGAGUUACCUGAGCUAAUUCUCAGUUACCCUGGUUAGGAGUUUUUGAAUUUAUUGCUGAGUCUCAGUACUUUUGUUUGAACCCCAUGCUUUUUAAUGAACUACAAAAGGCAAAAUGCCUUUCAUUCCCCCUCCCACAACAUUUGAACCUGAGGAAAUACACAAAAGGAAAGGGGAAAUGGAGUUUGCCAUUUCAAUGGGCCAAAAGUAUUGGAUUAUCGAUGAUACACACAGUAAUUUUGUUUCUGUUUUACAACAUUACACUUAAGCAUUCCUAUAGCUUCGAACAAAUAAACACAUGCUGCUGAGAGAAUGACACUUUGUACAUUUAAUGGUGGUUGGGUUCAGCCUGUAAGAGCACAGAACCAUUCUCUAUACCAACAGAAACAGGUUUAUAGCUUUUUAAAACAAGUCUGUUAUGGCCUGUGCCAUUUGGCAGAUUAAUCAUGACUCAGUCACUGCACACAGGGCAUUGACUUCUGCUGCAUGUGAAGGCGUUUGACAUCACUUAAAAAUCGUGCCAAAAGCAUUUCAAGUUGGCCUCUAAGAGAAAGAUGCACAUCAAAUUAGAGACUACAUCUGAAAACUUCAGUUGAUUUGCUUCAUAUGAACUUGAAUUGAACCUCAACCUUACAAAAUAGGGCAUAUUAAAACAUACAGACAGCUUAAUGGUAACCAUGACAACAGUACUUCCAAAAAACCUCAUAAGUAUAGCCAACGUUUCCAUAUACCAUGAGGGAUAUUAUGUUAUUUUGUACACUUAUUAAUAUCAAUUCAUGCUCUGUGGAUUACAUUUCAUCAGUAAAAACUGUAAAUUAUGCAGCUCUUUUCAGAUACUCUAUUAAUUUAUCUUUAUUUUAAAAUAUUUUUUUAGCUAUUUUUGUGGUUUUUGUUGUUGUUUGUUAUGUUGUUUGGGGUAUUUUUUGUUUGUUUGUUUGUUUGUUUGUUUUCCCCUCCUACUCUGACAAGGUCCAUAGGUCCAUACAAAAUGAAGUUGGUCAAAAGUUCCAAGUUUUGGGUACAACAUGGUCUCAAAAUAUUAUCUCAGUUUUAAAAGUCUUUCUUUUGGUAAAAUUUGAUGCUGUAACUAUAGGUGACGUUCCAAUUAACCACAAUAUUGGUUAUAAUUUUUUCACUUUUUUUUUUUUAAUUGUGACAAAGAAAGACUUUUUUUGUUGAUUUAUUUUAGGAAGAGAGCUACCAAUUUUUCAAAUAGCUUAUUACAUUAAAUGAGACUUUAUUAUGAGUAGAUGUCUGUUACUUUUCAGUCCUUAAGGGACUGUUCUUUAGUUUGGUCUCUUGUUGGCACAGAAGUAAAAUGCUUUAUGUCUCAUUUUUGUAACCCAUUUCACCCCAACCAGGGUGAAUUUUAAUCCCCUUUUCUCUAACUAAUUGAGAAAUACAGCCCUUUCCAUCACUUUGGACAGAAAUAUGUUAUUUUGAAAUACCCUGCCAAGAAGCAUUUUCCUAAAUGAGGAUUUUCUAAUCUUUAAUUAGUAUCACAAAUACUUUUGCUGCCUCUACAUUCCUCCAGUGAAAGGUUGUAUAGAGCAAGUCACUGAAUUCUGCAUGUCCUACGGGACUGUGUGAGGAGCUACACACUCCCCUUUCACACAGUGAACAAAAGCCAAAUUCUUCCUUUCUUUUUUAGGUCUGAAACACCAAAGCGAAAGGUGCAAUACUGAGGGCUGAAUACUGAUGAUCAGGCCUUCUUGGGUGGUAUCAGGGUUAGGCUUGAUGUACCUCUAUAAUUCAUCUGCCAUUAUUUCUUUUGCUAUCACAUUGCUUUUCUGGCCUCAUAUAUUUCCCUAAUAACACAGCUACGGUGUUUACUAUUCCUUUCAAGAUCUAAUGAAUUGCAACUACAACGUCCUUUCCCCUAAUGAGACCAGAGCACAAACAGUUCAGGUACUAGCAACCAGAAGCAUUACACAUACAUAUAUAAUUCCUAUGUAUUUUUAUGUCUGUGUAUAAUUAUACAUAUAUAUCCAAUGUAGUCUGUUAAGUAGUGUGAUAUAUGUGUUUGGGAUCAGCCACUUCUAUUAUAUAGCACAUUUACGUGAUAGCUAAGGUAGUCUUAGAGUACAUAUUAGCAUGCAUUAGUAAUGCAUAUCACUCUCAGCUCACUGGUUACGAACUUUGUUAAGUUUCCCUAACUAGAUCUGCAAUUGUACCUUUUAAUCUACUCUGUUUUGGGAAUUAGACCUGGCUUGCACCUGGCCUCUCCUCAAUAACUGUGCCUGCAGUCUCAGAAUAGUGAUAUAAGUGAGGCUUACCCAUCCUGCAGGAAGAAACCUUAAACGUUAUCUGGUUUUUCAUUUGUCUUGAUUUCACCUGUCUGGAGAAUCUGGUUGGCUUCUCCUUGGCUAAGGCCAGAGUGUAAGCUAACAUGUAAGUAGCAUGUGCCAGAAUUUGACUGUAAACUGCUGCCCAAAUUAGCAAAAUUGUUAUCAAUGCAAUUAUGCAAUUAUAACAAAUUGUCUAAAGUUGUAAAGAGACCUUAAAAUAUGGAACUUAGGCAGCUCUCCUGGUGUUAAACACAAGGCUCUAUUUCUUACCUUUUCAAAAUAAAGAGCUUGAAAAAGGAAACUUUCCUUGCCUGUUCCAUUUGGCUAUUCCAGAGUUUGUGGUUUAGGUUGGAUUAAUUCUCAGAUAAAGAACUGACAUAUAGAUAGAAGUUGUUAGAUGUAUGAAUGACAGCUGAAGUAAUGGUAGCAUCUGCCUUUUACUGAUUUUUUUUGGGUCUAAAUUAUCCUUUCCUUAGUGUAUGGAACCUCAUUCUGCUUUGGAGACAGCACGAAUAUAUAACCCAGUAAAUCCUACCUCCACCUGGAUGCCUCCCUCCUUUCUUUAUCUGGUAUUGCAUGAAUACUAAUACUAUAAAGUUACUAUGAGAUAGCACUAAGGGCACAAAUGCACCUGAUUAAUUGUUCUAGCAAUGAGAAAUUCAAAAGCAGUGACACCCUAGAGGUUUUAACGGACGGGAUAAUCAUAGCAUGAGCAAUGAAGACCUGUCAAGCUGUCCUCUUGGUGUGACCCUCUUCUGGCUUUUCAUUCAGCCCUGGCACUGGCCUUUUGCUCUCUCGGGACAUGUCCUACUGCAAUGGCAACCGUUUGUGCCUGCUGCUGGCACCAUGUGUCCUGCAAUCAGCUGCUGUAACCAAAGCCCAUUCAAGCCACUGGGCAGAAGUCCAGCCUGGAACUGGCCAUAGCACUGCUACAUCUUUGGGUGUCACUAACACUAAUUGAAAUGGCAAGCAAGGCCUUUUCGUGGCUAUCUAGUGGUGUCGUACUCCUUCCAUUUUAAAUGCAGUUGGCCCAAGGAAAUGUGACGUUAAAAAAUGUGACAUUAAAAGCACUGUUAGCUGGGAUUUGUAUGAACUAGGAUAUGUAGAAACAGCAACCCAUGCUAAGACAAUAUAUUGCACAUAAAAAAACUAAGAGCUACCAGUCGUGGAAGGUAUCGCCAUGUGUGGCUCUGUGCCUGUGCUGGCCAGGGCACAGUGCCACACUGACGUGUCUAGGAUCCACACUAGCUGGGUUAGGGCAAAAUCCAAGCUCUCUACAGUGAGAUGCAAAUUCUGACUUGUGGAGAAUAGGGAGAAGAGAGGCUCCCUGUCUUACAGUCCUCUGAGAAAAGUUACUGCUUCCCCAAAUGCUUAGGAUCUUUAAGAGACAAGCAAUAAACUGACUUAUUUCUCCAGUAAAUUGGGAAAACACAUCCUUUACUGCUGCAGAGGUUCCUAAAUGAAGCAUAGCUGGAUGGCUGCCAGUAAAGCUUUACUAUAGUAGUUGGCUAGGGAACAAGGACGCCCUGGCAACCACGCUUUAGCGAGGAUGCUGCAUAAUCUUUAACAAACUGUUGUGCACUAAGGCAGAGCGUAGAGGUGGGGGCAGAGGGAACUUCUUCCCAGAGAUUUACAUAGGAGUUGCUGCAGAGGAGAAGGUGAGCACUCUCCAUUGAUGAACAACAAUGCUGGAGAGAUUGAACAGUAGAAGUUUAAGGAUAAAGAGCCUUCAACAAUUUUGCAGGUGUACUUACUCUUUCGUGUACCUGCUUGAAGCCACAAAAUGUGACAAGGUGCCUUUCCAUCAGGGGAUAGAAGAUCUAAGAGAAGGUCAUGCAGGCUCCUUUUGAAAAUAACAAAGAUUAAAGCUUAUAAGGAGAAAGGGGGAAAAAGCUGGGUUAUGAACUGUAAUUGCUUUAGACUGCACUGGCAUCUGUUUGAUCCCUGAUUUAGUUUUGUAGUUUCAAUCCCUUCUUUUAAGUAAGCAAGCAUGCAUCAGUGCACUGGUAGUUAAGGAAUAGUUAUAGGUUUAUCAUAGGUACUGAUGGUUUCACUUGCUGUGCUAAAAAGCUAGAUCAGGUCACUUGUAUGCUGAGGAAGCAAGGUAAGUUCUCUUCAGGCAAUCACUGCCCAUCAUUUGAUGACCCCACUCUAGGGUAAGGGUUUUAAUGCUUUCAUAAACCUAAACUUUUGAGGAAUACACUAGAGGACAGACCAUUGUCUGAAAGAAACCUGCAGAAUACCAUUGGUGUUGCAGCUAUUAACUGAGGCCUUGUAAGCACGUUAGUUAAUUCUACCUACUAGUGACAGCCCAAAAUCUACACCAGGUCUUCGUGAAGUGCAGGUGAGGUCUGGUGACUUCUACCACCCUGCACAUGCUUUCAGCUGGAGGUUCCUCUUCCACACUUUUGUGCAAUAGGAACAUCCACUGCUAAAGAGCAGAUGUCCUUAAUGUCACAAGAAACUCCAGCUGAUUGGGCAGUGGAAUAAACUCACAGGCAGAUCUCAAGUAUUUCUCAAAGAUAGUGUAAAACUGAUCAUUUCAUAGUAUCAGUUAAUAUUUACGAAGUAUCUUAAUUUCCCGGAGGAAUCACUAUAAAGUUGCUGUAGACAUUAUUAUUACUAUAACUAACAGAAACAAUAUUGUAUUCUAUAAUCUACACAAAUACAAAUACACAAAUUGUUUUGUUUCUUAAGAGUACUUAUGUCCUUUAUACAAUUUCUUGUGUAUUUUUCUCUGUGUCCUCUGAUUCACAGGAACUUUAUAAUGAUUUGAAACAUGGGUGGUUUGGGAUUAGUUUUUACUGUCUGUUUUCAUGCAGACUUCUAUGAAGGGUUUGCUAAUGAAACAUGCGUGUGUUUGAAUUAAACCCUUUAAUGCUAGGGGAGGAGAUCAAUUUGACAUGGAAUUCAACUGCUGUUGUUUCUCUGAGGAGAAAAGGCCUGCUGGAUUUAAAAGCAUUUGAGUAUAUCUGUUUGACUGAACUGUUUCCAGUCCAUGUCCUGAAGGGUUAAGAAAACAGAAACCCAUAGUUUUACUGAGUUGUUGUUAUGUACGUUGCCAAGGGAACUGUAGCUGGAAUGUUUAAAUGUGUUGUUUCUCCCCAAGCCCAGAGGAGUGGAGCUUGAGUGUCUUGGUGUGCCCUCAUGUGUGCAAUUAUCCUCUAUGUGGUAGAAGGACUUAUGGAGCUGAAUCAGACUAAAUACUUGUUAGGGACACUAGGUAACAUUCCUGCUAUGCUGGAUGGAGCAAAUUUAGCAUCAUACUCAUUACUUAUGUGAAUCACAGCCAAAAGCAGAAAAGGAAGUAUAUUAAAAGCCUUCCUUAUUGCUUCUCCCUGAUUCCCAUGGACUUCUUUCAGUAAUACACACUGUAGAAAUUAAUGAUUUCUGAGGAGCCUUCCUUAAGAUUUAGGUAAGAGAAAUCAUGAGGUUGACUGAUCUUGACUCAGAUAUCUAGUAUCUCUAUUGUCUUACCUCAUGUGUGAUUUAACUUAGCUUUACUAGUGUAAAACUGAAGGAUGUCAUAUUGAAACCAACUGUUUCAACAGAGGAGGCAAAUUUUAGCCUUGUUUUCAGUUAAUGGUUAGGCUCUCGCACUGUGAACAGACUGGUCUGCAGAAAGUCUAAUUAAGCACUCUGCACUGCCAGAUCAAUUGCUGUAACAAAAAUACAUAUCUAUAUAUAUCUGUAGAGGUCAACUGUGACUUAAAUCUUUCAAGAAGCUGGGAACAACAAGGUCCAAACCCUCCCAAAGCCACCACCAUGCCAUCGUUCUCAAAUGUCGGGCCUGUUCUACCACUACGCUUUUUCCAUGAACAGGUGGCACCACCCAGUUGCGUCAAAACUAGCUAAGCAGCACUCAACCCCUAGUUGAGUCAAACCUUCUUCCAAGUGUAAACUGACCCAUACUUUGACUGAUUUAUAUAUUUCUUCUGGUAUGUAGGAGGAUCUGCAUUCAGGUGAAUGCUUUCAGUUUUGUACUUGUACCUCCUCCUAUCACUGAACAUCAGGUUUUCAACACAGUCCAAGAUAAAUCUGUCUUACUAUAAUUUGAACCAUUUUUUGUUCCAACGGACAUGGAAAACACAGAUUACCUUCUUUGCAGCUGCCCGUCAAGCACUUGAAAGCCCAAUGCUUUCCCAAGGCAUCAUUUCUAAACACCUGAUGAGUCUUGUUGCUUUCUCUGGUUCCUAAGCAGGACUCACAUCUUGAGCUACGGUUACUGAAACAGACAAAGGUCUCCAUCUUGUCAGUGCUGGGGCAGGUUACACACAUUUUAUCCAUGCAAGUCCUAUGCAUACAUCCUACUGUGAAGUUUCCUUUUUUGUUUCUGCCUCAGUAUGAAACCAUUGACAACAGGCUUACUUUCUGCAUCCAGAUAAAAAAGGAAGCUUACUCUUCAGCAUGUCCUGCAGUCCUCAUCCUCCAGUUGUCCAAACUGGGAGUACCUGAACUGCUAAACAAGGAGGAAGACUGAUUCACAUGAUCUCAAAACUUCUUUCAAGCUCUUACGAUUCAUAAAACAUAGGAAACCAGAGCCUUAUGACCAAUGUUAGUAAAAACCUGGGGAUUCAAUGCUUCCAUCAGUGGUCACAGGCCAAGUAUCCUAUUUCCGCUAUGGUCAGAACAAGUAGACAGUGCUGAAUCUAGGCUGGGCACGCUGACAGCUCGCGUUUCCCAACUGUGAUUAAACUGACUAUUUAAAAUAAAAGAACAAAGAAAAAAAGGCAGAGUCUUGUUCACUGAUUUCUGUGGCUCUUUUACUCCAUGUCUUUUGAUACUGCAAUGCAGAGAAGGGCAACUCACAAAGCAUUAAUUUUGAGGUUAAUUCUAUUACAUACUUCUGUGUUUCAUGAAACUCCUGCACAGGUUACUUUGACCAGGCAUGUCUGCACACUUCUGAAAGUGUAAUUGAGGGCAGGACUGAGGUGCAUUGGCAGGAGCUGGACAUGGCUUCCCUGCAGUCUCCUCAUCUCAGGUUUGUACUUCAUCACUCAGAUUUGUCUAAGUUUUAAUUUAAAAUAGUCUCUUAUAAUUCUCUUUAGAUAUCUAAAGUCUUCUAAACUGAAUGCAAAACAAAAUCUCUGAUAUGAGCUGAGCCUGCUAGUUAAAAGACAAAGAAACUAUAAAAAGCAGAGAAAACAUAACAAAGCCCUGCACUCCUCAGACAAGUUUAUCCUGCAAAGGGUACUAAACUCCAGAGGCCUAGCGAUACACAAAGUGCUCCUCACAUCUCUCUUUUUCUUGCUAUUUGUAGCCACAAGGUAAGGAUGACCAAAAAUCUGCCUUUUCCCUUUUAUUAGGUGCGGUAAACGCUUUUGUUUUGGUAGUGCUUCUUUUUGCAAUACACAAAGUUCAUUUUGAGUUUUUUGGGAGCUUUUUGUUUCCUGUCAGAGUGUGGAGGAGAAAGCAGUUCCCGUCUGUAAGUUAUGCGCCCCUUACAGUGCCCCUUAGUUACACAGCGUAAAGAAAGGAGAAACAGAAUCCAUGGCAUCGUGCAGAAAUGCUGCACUAUAUAGUUUGCCCUGGUUAAACAUUCCCAGAAAGGGAAUAACAGAACGCUGCAGAGCUCUUGAGCGUCUUUUGGACAGGUGCUGCAGAGGAUGCAGGCAUUUAGGGUUAAACCGAAACAGUGCUGGGUUCAGGGCAAAUUGGUUUUCAGAUCUGAGCUACAUAGAUCAGAGUUAUUUCCUGUUUGUAUUACUACAACACUACCUCCUCCAUACCUGAAAUAAGUGGCAUCUAGAGCCUUGAAAAGCAAUACUUAACAUCUGUGGGAGAACUUCAGUUUGAUUUAGCUGUGUGCCCCAGUCUUCACCCACUUUUUUUGAUCUUUGUCCAAACAUCUUCAAGUAUGUCUGCAAAACAAAGCUGAAAGUCUUGUAUGUACAGAUUUUUUUGUGGUAUGUAGUUCUGUGAUUUUUUGCCUUAUGUUCCAGAUAUUGAGGGAGAUAUCAAACAGGGAAAACAAAACAAAAACACAAAACAAAACCACAAACAAACAAAAAAACCCCACCACAAACCAACCCACCAAAAAACCCAACAAAAAAAACCACAAAAAAACCAACAAAACAAAAAAGGAAAACACACACCUGCAAGA